GACGAACGCUGGCGGCGUGCCUAAUACAUGCAAGUCGAGCGCAGGAAACUGACGAAACUCUUCGGAGGGAAGGCAGUGGAAGGAGCGGCGGACGGGUGAGUAACACGUAAGGAACCUGCCUCAAGGAUUGGGAUAACUCCGAGAAAUCGGAGCUAAUACCGGAUAGUUCAACGGACCGCAUGGUCCGCUGAUGAAAGGCGCGUCGGCGUCACCUUGAGAUGGCCUUGGGUGCAUUAGCUAGUUGGUGGGGUAACGGCCAACCAAGGCGACGAUGCAUAGCCGGCCUGAGAGGGUGAUCGGCCACACUGGGACUGAGACACGGCCCAGACUCCUACGGGAGGCAGCAGUAGGGAAUCUUCCACAAUGGACGAAAGUCUGAUGGAGCAACGCCGCGUGAGUGAUGAAGGUUUUCGGAUCGUAAAACUCUGUUGUAAGGGAAGAACACGUACGAGAGGAAAUGCUCGUACCUUGACGGUACCUUACGAGAAAGCCACGGCUAACUACGUGCCAGCCGCCGCGGUAAAAC
rnacentral:rRNA from 1 species